rnacentral:rRNA from 1 species
AUUGAACGCUGGCGGCAGGCCUAACACAUGCAAGUCGAACGGUAACAGGAAGAAGCUUGCUUCUUUGCUGACGAGUGGCGGACGGGUGAGUAAUGUCUGGGAAACUGCCUGAUGGAGGGGGAUAACUACUGGAAACGGUAGCUAAUACCGCAUAACGUCGCAAGACCAAAAAGGGGGACCUUCGGGCCUCUUGCCAUCGGAUGUGCCCAGAUGGGAUUAGCUAGUAGGUGGGGUAACGGCUCACCUAGGCGACGAUCCCUAGCUGGUCUGAGAGGAUGACCAGCCACACUGGAACUGAGACACGGUCCAGACUCCUACGGGAGGCAGCAGUGGGGAAUAUUGCACAAUGGGCGCAAGCCUGAUGCAGCCAUGCCGCGUGGAUGAAGAAGGCCUUCGGGUUGUAAAGUACUUUCAGCGGGGAGGAAGGGAGUAAAGUUAAUACCUUUGCUCAUUGACGUUACCCGCAGAAGAAGCACCGGCUAACUCCGU